rnacentral:rRNA from 1 species
GGCGCACGGGUGAGUAACACGUAGGUAAUCUACCUUUGGAUUGGGAAUAACACCGAGGAAUCGGUGCUAAUACCGAAUAAUGCAGCGGCACCUAAUGGUGACAGUUGUUAAAGCGGGGGAUCGCAAGACCUCGCGUCUAAAGAGGAGCCUGCGGCGGAUUAGCUAGUUGGUAAGGUAGCGGCUUACCAAGGCGAUGAUCCGUAGCCGGCCUGAGAGGGCGGUCGGCCACACUGACACUGACAUACGGGUCAGACUCCUACGGGAGGCAGCAGUCGGGAAUUUUGGGCAAUGGGCGAAAGCCUGACCCAGCAACGCCGCGUGAAGGAUGAAAUCCCUCGGGAUGUAAACUUCGCAAGAACGGGAAGAAUAAGUCGGUGCUAACACCAUCGGCGAUGACGGUACUGUUUGUAAGCUCCGGCUAACUCCGUGCCAGCCGCCGCGG